CCUACGGGAGGCAGCAGUGGGGAAUCUUGCGCAAUGGGCGAAAGCCUGACGCAGCAACGCCGCGUGCGGGAAGAAGGCUCUCGGGUUGUAAACCGCUUUCAGCAGGAACGAAAAUGACGGUACUUGCAGAAGAAGGUGCGGCCAACUACGUGCCAGCAGCCGCGGUGACACGUAGGCACCAAGCGUUGUCCGGAUUUAUUGGGCGUAAAGCGCUCGUAGGCGGUUCGGUAAGUCAGGUGUGAAAACUUGGGGCUUAACCCCAAGCCUGCAUCUGAUACUGCCGUGACUAGAGUUCGGUAGGGGAGUGGGGAAUUCCUAGUGUAGCGGUGAAAUGCGCAGAUAUUAGGAGGAACACCGGUGGCGAAGGCGCCACUCUGGGCCGAUACUGACGCUGAGGAGCGAAAGCGUGGGUAGCAAACAGGAUUAGAUACCCUGGUAGUCCACGCCGUAAACGUUGGGCACUAGGUGUGGGUUUCAACCAACGAAAUCCGCGCCGUCGCUAACGCAUUAAGUGCCCCGCCUGGGGAUACGGCCGCAAGGUUAAAACUCAAAGGAAUUGACGG
rnacentral:rRNA from 1 species